UACGAAGGGUGGCAAGCGUUACUCGGAAUUACUGGGCGUAAAGCGUGCGUAGGUGGUUUGUUAAGUCUGCUGUGAAAGCCCCGGGCUCAACCUGGGAAUGGCAGUGGAUACUGGCAAGCUAGAGUGCGGUAGAGGGGUGUGGAAUUCCCGGUGUAGCGGUGAAAUGCGUAGAGAUCGGGAGGAACACCAGUGGCGAAGGCGGCACCCUGGACCAGCACUGACACUGAGGCACGAAAGCGUGGGGAGCAAACAGG
rnacentral:rRNA from 1 species